CUGGUCUGAAACUCCUGAGCUCAGGCAAUCCACUCAUCUCAGCCUUCUAAAGUGUUAGGAUUACAGGCGUGAGCUACUUUGUCCAGUCUCAAUUAUUGUAUUUCUUUUUUGGAUUUGGUAGGUUGUUCAAUCAGUUAGUCUCCCUUUCUUUCCAGCAGUGUCAUAGCUUGAGGGACCUAGUAAUGGCGGUUAGACAGCUGCCUGUUCUAAUCCUGGUUACAUAGAUCCAGAAGGAUUCAAAGUGUCCUGGUGGAGGAAUUUUUUUAUAUUUCUGAGCGGAAUUGCACAACUCUUAUUUCUUAUCACAAUUAAGAAAAUCACAUGGGAAAUACCCUGAACGUAGCACUGUGAAGCCACCUAGAACAGCAAACCCUUGUGUUCAAAUUCAUUAGACAAUCACUUGUUGUUAUAAAGCUCUCAGGUCACCAUGGCCGGAUGAACCCUUGGCAGAUGCUCCUGUCAUUUCUUGAAGCCUGAGGAAUGGGAACCGUGGCAGCUGCUGGCUUGGACAAUCUGACAUACCAGGACAUGCCCAGGCCUGGAUCGGCAGGGCUAUGAAUGGCUUAUUCAGCGACAGAUUGGCAAGAGUAAAUCAGGUUAAAUGAAAGCUUUAUACCAGACCCAGAGAAAAAGAAAAAUAAAGAAAAAAAAGAAUGACUGUGACUGUAACCUAUAACGUGGUCUUGGCUCCUAAAGCAUUUUAUUUUUAGGUGGCAGUGGUUUUGUUUUUAUUGAAUAAAGAGCCAUAUAAAGAUGAAAACAAGAACUGACCUAUCAUCCUGUUGCUAAAACAGCCCACAUAGACAUUUUAAAAUAAGAUAUGCAGAGUGUUAGACAUUCCAGCUGUACAAAAUUAGAAACGGAGAGUGCCCCGUCUGCUUCUCCCCAACCUCCCACAAAAGCCAUAGCAGGUUCUCGUUUUCCUUCAAAAGAGAAAAAAUGUUUUUGUAUAUUCCAGCAUAGAGCUCUCUAUACGGACAUAUACAUGCGUGUAUAUAUGUAUAUGUGUGUCUAUGGGUGUGGGCAUGAAUUUGUGUGUAUGUCUAUAAUUCUGUGUCUAAGUGUAUGUUUGUGUAUAUAUGUGUGUAAAUUUAUGUAUAUGUUUGCUUUUCUGUGUCUAUGUAUAUUUAUGUACAUAUGUAUAUGUGCAUAUAUAAGUGCAUUUAUGUGUAUAUAUGGGUGGAUAUAUACAUAUGUAUAUGAGUAUGUUGUAUGUAUUUGUGCAUGUGUGAUAUAUGAACAUAUAUAUAAGUUUAAACAAAAGCAAUUAUAACUAUUAAGACUUUGGGCCAGGCACGGUGGCUAAUGCCUAUAAUCCCAGCACUUUGGGAGGCCAAGGCAG
rnacentral:lncRNA from 10 species